rnacentral:rRNA from 1 species
UACGUAGGGGGCGAGCGUUGUCCGGAAUUACUGGGCGUAAAGAGCUCGUAGGCGGUUUGUCGCGUCUGCUGUGAAAAUCCAGGGCUUAACCCUGGACCUGCAGUGGGUACGGGCAGACUAGAGUGCGGUAGGGGAGAUCGGAAUUCCUGGUGUAGCGGUGAAAUGCGCAGAUAUCAGGAGGAACACCGGUGGCGAAGGCGGAUCUCUGGGCCGUAACUGACGCUGAGGAGCGAAAGCAUGGGGAGCGAACAGG